UGCUACUUUGGCUGUUUGGGGCGAACAAACAAACGACCCCGCGGUCACAUUCACCGGAAUGACGCUAGGAGAAAACUACGCAUCGCUGUGAGAAGGAAUAUGGCGUUUGAUAUCGGUUUUAUUAGUGUUUCUGCAAAUAGACGGUUGCAGGUGGACUGGUGUUUACAUGGUCCGUGGGAGCUGGAAGUCCGCAGUCAGCUGUGUGGCGGCUGCAGAUCUGCAGCCUCAAUGGAUGUCAUCUGGGAAGAAGAGGAGGAGGAGGAGCCUUGUAGAGACCAGCUGAAGGAACAUCUUCUCUGAGCUGAAGCUCUGAGAUGAGUGCAGAGUUUCCGGACCACAACGGAGAAGUUCCUUCACUCCAUUCAUGCCGCCUUCUCUCCGUACUCACUGUAUACUCAUAGUAUUGUAUGUCAUGAAAUAAUUUAAUAAAAAAAGUAAGUAAUAGUAUGUAUUAUGUCAGAAAAAGCUCAGAAAAGUCAUACAUAAUGUCAAAAAGUGUUAUUACAUUGUUAUUACAUUGUUAUAACUAUGUAAUAACUAUGUAAUAACAUGUAUUAUGACAAAUCUGUUAAAAAGUGCUAUUACACAGUUGUACACAGUACAUGCCAUAAAAGUGGACGUAAAUAAUUUUUUGUCCAUAAAAAAAAAAAAUUGGAUUUUUUUUUCUUAAAUUAGAAUCUUCUCUUCCUUUCUCCUACUCGCUCCCUUUCUCUGACAUGUCCUACUCGGGUCUCUUCCUUUCUCUGAGUUGUCCGGCUCUGGUCUCUUCCUUUCUCUGACUUGUCCUACUCUGGUCUCUUUCUUUCUCUGACUUGUCCUACUCUGGUCUCUUCCUUUCUCUGACUUGUCCUACUCUGGUCUCACUCUUUCUCUGAGGUGUCCUACUCUGGUCUCACUCUUUCUCUGAGUUGUCCUACUCUGGUCUCACUCUUUCUCUGAGGUGUCCUACUCUGGUCUCUUCCUUUUUCUGACUUGUCCUACUCUGGUCUCUUCCUUUUUUUGACUUGUCCUACUCUGGUCACUUCCUUUUUCUGACUUGUCCUACUCUGGUCUCUUCCUUUUUCUGACUUGUCCUACUCUGGUCUCUUCCUUUCUCUGACUUGUCCUACUCUGGUCUCUUCCUUUCUCUGAGUUGACCUACUCUGGUCUCUGCCUUACUCUGAUCCCUGCCUGUCCUUGUCUUAAUACUCUCCUACUCUCUUCUUGCCUGCACUUCCUUUCCUAGCCUCUCUUUCCUAUCUGGGGGGCCUAUCUAAGUGCACACACGCUGAUACCGAGCUGUCUUGAACCCGCCACCGGCGCCUUUAGUGGCGAAGACAAACCAACUGCGCCACCAACGCAUGUACGCAUGCGACAGUUCUCCGGGUGUAUUUGUCUUUGUCAUUCUGGGUGUAAAGCUCAAAAUAAAUUGACUUUUCUUGUGUUGGAACCCAUAACCUUUAUGUCUCCCAACCAGCGUUCCAUCACACUGAGCUAUCAGAUCUGAUGGACAAUCUCAUGGUUAGUUGUGUAUUUGUCUUUGUCAUUCUGGGUGUAAAGCUCAAAAUAAAUUGUCCUUUCCUGUGUUGGAA